UUUAACCAUUUUGUAAUUGUUGAUUUGCAAUCGUAGUAAAGUUUUGGGUAAAUAUUUAGGCACCUAUUUACUUUGUUGUAAAUGUGACUAGACUUCAAAUUGUAUUGUGAGCGUGCAAACUUGGUUUUAGUUUUAGUUAUAUUAGCAACGUUUUUUAUUAGUGCACGCUGAGCUCUUUCCAGACUAAUGAAUCGCGUUUUAGCCGCCCCACCCCAGACAGGUAUACAGUAAACCAAGACAGACUGUACCAGGGAUGUGUAAAUCUCUGUUAGUAUAUUCCGUUGUUUUGACGGGGUUGUUUGUGAUCUACCUGGUACAAUAUGCCUUAGUGUCCUGAAAAUCCAGUGCAGCUUACGGACCCUAUUGAUUAGCUGGUCAAUGUGAGUGUACCAAUUUAGGUGCUCGUCUAAGGUGACUCCUAGGUAUUUAAUUGUUGAUACUUUUUCAAUGAUUGGGCAGCUACAAUUUUUGAGAUUCGUACUGUCACAAGUGUGGAUUUUGAGGUUUACAUCAAAGUUGGGUUGUGUGAAAUUCGUGAUGCUGAAACACAUGUAUUUUGUUUUAUCUGUGUUAAGCGUUAACAGAUUUAGUUUUAACCAUCUAGAAAUCUGAGCUAGACCCUUUUCAGCACUUGUUUUUGCUUCCAUCCAGGUUUUACCGGAGAAGACUAUGGCUGUAUCGUCAGCGUAUGAGAAUACUUUAGCAUUAGUUAUUGCCAUGUCACAAAGAUCGUUUAUGUAGGCCAAGAACAGUGUUGGUCCUAAGACGCUACCCUGCGGAACUCCAUACGAUACAUGCUCAUCGUUGCUAACAUGCACACCCAGCUUAACUCGUUGCUUCCUGUCCGAUAGGUAACUUUUAAAUAAGGACAAAGCAGUUCCCCUAACCCCCAUCUUUUCAAGUUUUUGAAUAAGGAUAGGGAUAGAGACGGUGUCAAAAGCCUUUUUUAGGUCUAGAAAGACUGCCAAGCAUUUGUUCUUAUCAUCUACGUUAUCUACGACUACCGAGGUGAGAGCUGUUAUAGUAUCUUCCGUCGAUUUCCCCUGCCUAAAGCCAAACUGCGAUUCUGAUAGAAGAUUAUAUUUUGUAAAAAAGUUUAGUAGUCUAGUAUUAAGAAUUUUUUCAAGGAUCUUCGACACUGCAGGCAAAACAGAUAUUGGCCUAUAAUU